CCCUUAGAUGUCCUGGGCCGCACGCGCGCUACACUGCUGCAUGCAACGAGUUUAUAACCUUGGCCUGAAAGGUCUGGGUAAUCUUUUGAACGUGCAUCGUGAUAGGGAUAGAUUAUUGCAAUUGUUAAUCUUGAACGAGGAAUUCCUAGUAAACGCGAGUCAUCAGCUCGCAUUGAUUACGUCCCUGCCCUUUGUACACACCGCCCGUCGCACCUACCGAUUGAAUGGUUCGGUGAAGAUCUCGGACUUCGAUAUUUAUUCUUUAUUGAGUUUAUAUUGUGGGAAGUUAUCUAAACCUCAUCAUUUAGAGGAAGGUGAAGUCGUAACA
rnacentral:rRNA from 1 species